UGAGGACUGAGCCCUCAUGAGUGGGAUUAGUGUCUUUAUAAAAGAGACUCCAGAGAGAUCCCUUGACCCCUUCCUCCAUGUUAAGACACAGGAAGAAGAAAGCCCUCUGUGAAGAAGGAACCCACUCUCACUAGACACUGAAUCUGCCAAUGCCUUGAUCUUGGACUUCUUAGCCUCCAGAAUUGCAUGGCUAGUUCAUGUGGUCCAAACCAGCAGUUCCAAGGCGUCUGUGAGUGUCACCUGAAGUGGGGACCAACCUGGAAGGUUUUCCCUGGACAGUGAGGACUCAUCCUACGGAUUGGAAGCUGAAGUAGACCAGAAGCCAUCUAACAUUUCUUCCAAUCCUGGAAUUCUAUGAUGCUAUGAAAAUCAAGUUAUUGUAAGAGGUUCUGAUAUUAGGGGCUCCAUGAGUAUUCUUGAAUGGAUGAAAUCAGUAGACAUUAUUUGCAGCAUCUACGCUAUCUUUAGAAUUACUUUCAUGUCUGACUUUUUUGCAAGUCUGAUAACAUCCCUCCUGUGGAAACAACGCUUCUGAGACUUUCCAUGGUCUUUGGAAUUUACUGGGGUUUGUAAGACCCGCCAUGAUCUGCUCCCAACUCCUCUUCAGCCUUCUCUGUGGUUCAGACGAGAGGAACCACCAGCCUUCCCUAGACAGGCCGCAAGCUCUUCAGUCUCCUUUUCUGGUCGAGCUGACCUUACUUGAAAGGCAAUGCUGUGCUGAGUGGAAACAUAUUCAGACAGAACCUUGAUGGUACUGAAAUAAACCCUGGUGGGGUUCAGGCAGGGUGAUGUGUCGCUCCAACAGAAGUCCUCAAGCUUAACUCGCCUCCUUAGCCCUCUGGAACACGUAAACAACACCCCAAGUGUACUGAAGUCAGACCACCUUGCCAGAACUAAGAAAACUUCUGCAGACUCAUCAGCUAAGUAAUCAAUCAAUUUUCCUUGAUUAUUUCAAUCCUGGGCCCCAUCUCUUCUUUUUAUACAUGUCUGCCAUUAAUCUUGGGCAUUAUUUUCCUAAAUAAGCAAGCUUUCUUCCCAUGUCUAAUCUCUUUGUUGGUUCUCUUAGUAUAACAGUUCCUAAGACACAUAGUAUGGUCUAUCCAUAUUUAAAAAAGCAUGGCUGAUACCAAAGCUUGUUUAUGUCCAUGAGACUAGUCAAUAGUGACAUAAGUGUAUAGAAAAACAAAUCUUGCUCAUUUUUGAACCUUGGAGAAAAAUUAUACCCUAAAAAACAUGUAUCCACUGUUUUUUUUCUUUUUUGCAUGGCCUUCUGGGAGGAGCGUCUACUUCACUCAGAGGAUUCGUGCACAGGCCCAUGCUCCUUGAUGGAGAAAGCAAACUCUGGAGCCUGGUGGGAGAGGGAAAGAGGCCCUGAGCGCCAGGGGAGGGAAAAGAGAGGCGGAAGGGAAAAGAAAGCCUGCAAUGAAGUCAUGAAAAUCUCCAUUUAUAGAGAUGCUCUACUUGAGUGUUUUGUUCAACAUCAUCUGUGAGAAGGAAUAUGAGUUUUUCCUCAAGGCCCUCUCUCACGUCAGAAGAUACACUAAAGCAGUUCCCUUAGUGAAUGAUUUAUCUGGAUUCAUCUGAUAGGGACCGAGUCAUUCAAAAGAAACUAUGACAGUGGAAGAGAGUGAGCUUAAAAUUUCAUCAUAAAGCCCUGAUCAUCCCACAGAGACACACAGAAAAGACACAUGGACAAAAGAAGAGGCUGUGUGAACACAGAGGCAGAGACUGGAGCGAUGCAGCCCUAAGCCGGACACACAGAGGAGGAGGCCAUGUGAUGGGAGUGAGGCAGAGACAGGAGUGAUGUGGUCACAAGCCAAGAAAUACUUGGAGCUACCAGAGCUGGAUGAGCCAAGGAACUGAAUCUCCCCUGUGGUCUUCAGAGGAAACUUGUCUCUCCCGACUCUUGAUUUUGGACUUCUGGCCUCCAGAAGGUGACAGAAUAAAUUUGUGUUGUUUUA
ensembl:lncRNA